rnacentral:lncRNA from 1 species
AGAUACCGGAGGCCUCUGCUGUGGCUGCCCACUGGCUGGGCCCAGGCCUUGAAGCGGUGGCGAACGUCUCUUCCCUACCCUACCUCGGUGACUGAUGGCGGCGGCGGCCUCUCCCAGUCCGGACCCUGCCGGCCGUCGGGUCUCCCGGCCCAAGCCUGCCGGGCCUGGACGAAACCCCCGCCGAGCAGCCUGGACGCAGCGCCUUUGGGUGGCGGCGGGAGUAGCGUGCCGGGAAGCAUGGCGGCCGCUCGAACGCCGCGCGGCGGAGGGCGUUAGGGCAUGGAGGGCCCGGGAAGGCGGCCUAGGGACGCAGGCAGGCUCGGCCGCCUCUUCAGGCCACGGAGCCGCCAGAUCUGGGUCCCGGGUGACCACUCUGUCGCCAUUGGGCGAGACCUACCUAGUCCUAACGACAACGGACAAAGGCCUUAACGGGCCUGGGAGGUGAGCGAAGUCCCGAACGACGACGGGUGGAACGGUUAGCGGCGAUCGGGCGGUUGGUCUCCGUACUACCAGACCUUGCUGUCGGAAGAGACAAAUGGUAGAAUGACAGGCCACGUUUGGCCCGUUGGAAAUGCCCUCCAUCCUCUGGGAAGAUUCACAGGCCGUUUACGGAAGGCCUGUGUAUAUAAUAUGAAAAAGCUGCUCUCAACUCCACCCCAACCUUUUAAUAGAAAACAUUUGUCACAUCUAGCCCUUCUAGAUGGAAAGAGGUUGCCGACGUAUGAUAGAGUUAGAAAGUCACACAUCUUGUAAAUUCUCAUUUGUUUAAAAGAAAUCAUAGAAAAUACAUGUCUUCCGGAGUUGACUUUUGGAAACUGAGUUGUUAGACGGCCUCUAGAAGCGAUACGUUCACGUUUGUUCAGUGGGUUAGAUGACAUGGAGCUCGAAGACCUGAGAAGGAAAAAAAGAAGGUUCUAUGCUAGACUGGUCAUAUUUAGAAGACAUUUUCAUAUUCUAUCCAUUGUUUUGUGUGCAUUCGCUUCCUCACUACUAUGUAUGUAGUUGACAAUGCUAAGCUUUUUUGAAAUGUCUAUUCUUUUUAGAUAUUCUGAAGUGUCUGAUAUAUGUUAAAAUUAGAGGUAGUAAAACCACAUUUUGUAAAUAUCUUUUUGUUACAAUUCAUAGAAAUGUUGUUUUUUGGGGGGAAUGGCCAAAUCACCUGUUGAGUAAUACUCAUUGUGUUUGUGCAGUAGUUCAGGGGAGGAGAGAGGAGGGGGAGGUGCAGAGAGCUCUAUGCCAUCCUGCUUACAGCGAGGCAAGAUGAAUCACUAUGUCUGUGCAUUUUGUUUUAUCUAUGUAUAUAAUGUACAUAAAGGACAAACGAGUCCUAAUUUACAACAUCUAGUCUUUCUGGAUGUUAAAGAGGUUGCCAGUGUAUAACAAAACUAGAGUUAGUAAACUAAUAUAUUUUGUACAUUUUGUUUUACAAGUCCUAGGAAAGACUGUCUUCUGAAAAUUUGAGCAUUCUUGCCCACUGGGUUGAUGGAGAUGGGAAGGGUUCUAGGCCAGAAUGUUCACAUUUGGAAGACUCUUUCAAAUUAUAACUGUUGUUACAUGUUUGCAGUUUAUUCGAGACUGCUGUGUACAUACAUAGUGGACAAAUUAACUCCUUACUUGAAACAUUUAGACUAUCUAGAUGUUUAGAAGUGCCCGAUGUAUAUUAAAUGUAGAGGUAGUAAAAUACCAAUUUGUAAAUAUCUUUUUGCUAAAAUUCAUAGGAAAUACUUUUGGAAGUUGAAUUGUGAAGCCACCUUUGUGAGCAGUAUAUUACUGUCUAUACUUGCUCAAUGGUUUAGAGGAGGUGGGAGGGAAGAAAUUGCAAAAGAUAAUAUGCUAGUGUGUUCAUACUUGGACAUUUUCAGACACCAUUUUUCUGUAUGUUUUGUGCAUUUUGUUUUGCUCUGUAUAUAGUGUAUAUAAUGGACAAAUAGUCUUAAUUUUUUAACAUCUAGAGGUUGCCAGUGUAUGACAAAGUAGUAAAAUUAGCAUAUUUUGUAUGCUUUGUGUUGAAAUUCAUAGGAAAACUUGUCUUCUGUAAUUGACUUUUGCAUAGGAAUUUGUUCAGCCAUCUCUAAGCAUUACACAUGCGUGUACUUGUCCACUGAAUUGAAGGCAGAGAAGGAA